rnacentral:rRNA from 1 species
UCCGUAGGUGGAUAAUUAAGUCAGAGGUGAAAUCCUGCAGCUCAACUGUAGAAUUGCCUUUGAUACUGGUUAUCUUGAGUCAUUAUGAAGUGGUUAGAAUGUGUAGUGUAGCGGUGAAAUGCAUAGAUAUUACACAGAAUACCGAUUGCGAAGGCAGAUCACUAAUAAUGUACUGACACUGAGGGACGAAAGCGUGGGGAGCGAACAGGAUUAGAUACCUGGUAGUCC